GUUUCGCUUCUAGGAGCUGGAAACCUCGGCCACGCGGGCGUUUUCUGAUGGUGGCAUGAGGCGGUCGGGGUGACAGAUCUCGAUUGCAAAGAUCCCGACGGUCAUUAGACGGCAGCAGUCAGAGACGGAAUGGCCUUUGCUGCUGCUUCGUAGUCGCCCUGGAACGUGCAGCAUUAUCAUACAACAUGGAAACAUCUCAAGUCUCUGCGGAUUGGAAGACAUGACUCUCCAUCAGCUUGCAUGCAUGAGGUUGUACUUAUUUGUCAUGGGAGUCAACCCAGGCAGGAAUGCAGGACUUACCUUCAUUGUAAGCUCUAAUCCCAAGAAAAUCCCUUUUUGGAGAAAAGGGUGUUAGUGAUGCAUCUCUUCUGAUCUACAUUCCAAGAACGAUAUCAGCAUUUGAGGGUAAUAAAAGCAGUCCAAACCACCUCUGAAAUUUUUCCCUGGAAGCAGAGUUCCAUGUAUACCUGCUGGGAAUGGGAGAGACAAGAUUACACCUGGAUCUGAUCUUUUCCAGCCAUGGUGAAGAAGUGGGGGAAGGGUGUGGAACGCCUUUCUGCCACCACAGCUUUUUUUUCUACCCUUCCAAAGAGGAAAAAUUGAAAAUAAAAACAAGACAACUAAGGAAUGAAGUUAACUCCCUAGAGUUUUCUAGAGGGAGGAGUAUUUAUUCUCUUGUGUUUUUAAAAGGAAUGUUUUAAGAAUGUUCCGUGUCUUUCUCUACUUUCCAAAAGUAUAGGAAAAGAAGGCAUGGUCACUGCCCCCCCCUUCCCCCCCAAAAAAUCAAAAAGCCAUUUCCUCAAGCUUUGUAAGGAGCAUUUUAAAAAGUGCAUGGCUGGGUGUGCUUCUAAUGUAUACAUUUUCACAGCAAAUGUUGUAUUAGCAAAUUCCAUGUUUGAUACACGUACCUUACAAGCACCAUAAUGGCUUUUGUUGCAUUAUCUGUAAGUGUUUUAAAGGCCACGGGCAUUUUUCAAGACAAAAAUGUAAAGGUUAUGCCAACCAAUACAGCUGAACAUUUCUUUAGUGUAGGUUCUUAAUUUAUGAUUCUGAGGUUUGACGAUCCUCUGGAGAUGAGACGCAUUUGGGGUUUGCAAGAUCACACAAAAGGGAAACUCCAGUACUAACUGUCCCGAAACUUUUGCCUUUCAAGAUUUGAUCAGCAACACUUGCCUUGAUUUUAUAUUUCAGGACUGCAGCCUCUCUUUGCAUUUUUGUAGUUAGCAAGGGUAGCUUGGUAGUGUUGCAGAGCAUCCAGCCAAACUGACUUGGUAGCAUGUUCUCAGGUUGUCAGAGUGGGCGAUGAGUGAAAUUCAUGUGUUAACUGUAUUUUUUACCCCUUAAUUUCUUACGGCUUAGGUAUAAAUUGCCUGUUUAAAGAAAAGCACUGUGAAUAUGACUUUGGAGCGGAUGACACCAGACAUGCACCUGGAAGGCAAAAUCGCCAAACUGUGUCUCACUUAUUUUGGCCAUGGUAUCGGGGAAUUCACUGAAGAAAGUAGUUAUGCUUGGAAGAAUUAAGAGGUAAAAGGAAAUCAGGCCACCAAAGAACACUGGUUGGAUACUAUCAAGGCUGACACCAGCCAGACCAUAAAAUAACUCAAGGAAGCAGCCCAGGAUUGGAUGAUGUGGGAGACCUGGCCCAUAGAAUCACCAAGAAUCGAACACGAUUGAAUGGAUAACAUCAUCAUCAACAGAUCUAUAAGGUUUUAAUGUUUAUUAAAAGAUUUAGGGAAAGCUGUUUUUUUAUGACCAGAAUACAGGAGGAUACAUUUCAGCAAUAUUUGUUGGUUUUAAAAUGCCCGACUCCUUUUCUCUUGUUGAAAAAAGAACGUUUCAAGUCUUUAGGCUAGCUGGAGGCCAUUAAAAGAUUACACAA